UACGGGGGGGGGCAAGCGUUGUUCGGAAUUACUGGGCGUAAAGGGCUCGUAGGCGGCCAACUAAGUCAGACGUGAAAUCCCCAGGCUCAACCUGGGAACUGCGUCUGAUACUGGAUGGCUUGAAUCCGGGAGAGGGAUGCAGAAUUCCAGGUGUAGCGGUGAAAUGCGUAGAUAUCAGGAGGAACACCAAUGGCGAAGGCAGCUCGCUGGGACGGUACUGACGCUGAGACGCGAAAGCGUGGGGAGCAAACAGG
rnacentral:rRNA from 1 species